UUUUCCUUAAUUUUAUCUUAUAUAUUAAAAUGUCUUAUUUCCAUGCAUUAAGUUAUUGGGUGGCUACACUGCUCUAAGAAACACAAGCAGAACACAAAACCCAUUUGAAAGGAAAAAGGCAAAUUUACUGUGGUGAAAAGGGAAAGACAAAAACAUGAAUAAAUUCUACAAUGUCUUUAAAAGAGAAAAAAAGCAAGAGGCAGGUAUGUCUAUGUAGCUGGUUUUACCUCCAUGUACCUACUCCAUUCCUCAGCAAUUCAAUAUCCUGCCUCCACAAAAGUUGUCGUCCAGGAGCAGUGUAACACUACAGGACAUGCUACCAAGAAUGGCCCAUAUCAUUUACAGCCUGAUUCAGUUCCAGCUGGAGUCACGUGAAAUCUUGGUGAUAGGAAUGACCAACAAACUGCUAGAGCUGUAAUCAGGAAAAUGUAACAAGUCACCAGCACCAUCCAGAAAGGUACAGAAAGGAUGGUCACUUAUGCAGGAAGAUUCUUUUCUCCUCUUCAAGAAUAGCAGCAGCUAGAGUGAGAGAGAGGGAAAUACAGAAAGUCUUGAUCUCAGUUUAAUUGAAAGUCAGUGCAAAUAUAUCAACAAAGCUCAGGCAAUACUCAGAAUUCCACGCGCUCUACGGCUGAGCCUCACAAGCUGUGGCUUGUGGCUCUACUGUUGAAGAUUUUCCUUCAACUUCUCAGCUUCUUCUUCUUUACUUUUAUACAUCUGCAACUGUACCAGCUACUGGCCUACAACUCUACAAUUUAACCUUUUCUUCCCUCUUUAUUCACUCAUAUUAUAUACCAAGAUCAAAACAACAAAUGCAUGCAGAUCCUUAUUCCCUCUACUUUCAGUAUCUUUGGAGGGUUUUGUUGUUUUGUUGUUUGUUUCUCUCCCCACCCCUCCUUUAAGGCAGCAUCUUUUAUUUCCAUGUGAACAACUGCUGUGCAACCUUAUCAAGUCUUCCCUCUGUCUCUAAUUUCUUUUGGUUUAGGGGAGGUGGUUGUAUGGCAUAUUCGUAGCUAAUAAUAAUAAAUCUCUACAGUCACCAGAAAUCUGCUCAAAUCAGAAAAAGCCAACACUGCAAUAUAUGAGUUUAUAGCUAAUUUGCUUGUACAUUUCACAGAAGGAUAAAUCCAACUGGGUUUAGGAUGUUUACAUUUGGAUCUCAAUGGUUCACUUACAAAAUGUUGUUAAUGGGAAUUUUUCUUUCCAAACACUUCACAUACAGUACUUGUAUAUAUAUUGAAUUGUGUCUGUCUAGUUAGCUAGAGAUGGUGAUACAAAACCCUUGGAGUGAUCAGCAAAUAUUCUGGAGCUUUAAGAUGAUGUGA
rnacentral:lncRNA from 1 species